UGAGAGAUGAAUCUGCAGGGAGACAGGGGGCGUGUGCCAUCAGAUCUGUCUCCCCAAUUCACGAUUUGGGGCAAAAUCUAAGAGGUUAGGGAGAAGAGGCUGGCACACAGAAACACUGGCAGGACAGGUUUUGAGUGGUAGGCUUCAGGCAUUUGUGGUAAGGUUCUAAACAUUUAUGAUGAGGUUCUAAACAUUUAUGAUGAGGUUCUAAACAUUUAUGGUAAGGUGGGUAAGGAAUUCUAACACCAGAUCUUCCAGAAUGAUGGACCUCUCACUUCUGAUACUAUUGAAAUGAGAAUCUAAUCUGAGGGAUGGAUAUUUAUUGAAAGGGCUUCUGGAAGCAAAGAAUAAGCUCUUAAGAGAAACUCUCCCGGUGGAAGCCUGUUCCGAAGGCCCUGAUUGACUCUCUCCUGGAUUGUUUUCCCUGGUGACUACCUCAGUGACCCAUCAUCACCUCUGCCUAUGAUUACUCUGGUCUCCAGGCUGCCACAAGAGUGGUGUCUCGAAUGGGCUAAUCUAACCAUGUCUUUUCCCUGCUUCCCAGGGCCCCGUUCUAUUAUGGGAUUAACUCAAGUGCUUCAGCCAAACAGCAUCCACGGGCCUCCCAGUCCUAACCCCUGCCUGCUUCUUCAGACUUCUCUCCUGACCUCCCCACCUCACAUCCCAGCUUAUGGGUCUCUGCCUGUCAUCUGUUGCCUCCGUGCACUUGUUCAUGCCCUUCUCUUUGCUUGGAAUCUCCUUUCAAGAUUUAGGUCAGGCGUCUUGUCUUCAACAAAGAUACACACACACACAGAUACUCAGACACACUCAGAGACACAGAUACACAUUGAGACAGACACAUGUAUAGAUACAUACAUAGACAUACACAAAGAUAGUCGGACACACGUGUACACACAUGCACACACCGUAUGACACCACACACCAAGACUGGGCUAAAGCUCCUUCUCUGAGCUCUCAUAGCACCUUAUCCAGACCUCUGUCACUGAACUGAUCAGUUUUUACUGACAAAUCUGUCCUUCUAUCUCGAUAAUAAAUUGUUCCAGGUCAAAGGCCAUGCCCUUUGUCACUUUAAACACCCCACCCUUCCUCACACACUGUCUAAUUCAUAGUGGGCCAUCAAUAAAGCUUUGCUAAACUGAACCCAACAAUAAUUCCAAGGCAGGCCAGAGGGACUGGGAAAUGGAAUGGCUUCCCCAGUGACCAAAUCUAAAAUUUAUUCUCCCGUCCAAAUCUCUGGGCAAGGGCAGAUUGCGACCUUCCAUGGCAAUGACAGUGACAGCAUCACCCCGCCAUCAAGUCUUAUCCUUGCCCCUUAAAACACACAAAAACAUCAUACUCCUAAAACUUGGUCCUUAGCCAUUGAGUUCAAGGCCUUUCUCCGAUUUGAGAUAUUCAGCAGAAUAAACUAAGUUGAUGCCACUUCUAGGCAGCCAGAAGGAAACAGCAAAGAAAUGCUUCGAGCUUCAUUCAGCACCUUUUCAUCUCCCAUUUGUCUCCUAAAUUAAAACCCUUCAGAGGCAGAAGCUACGUCUGAUUAUUCUUUGUGUUUCUCACGGUUCCUAGAAGAACACUGGCAGUAGGAAUGGCGAAGUGUUGGAGAAGAAGGUGGGAUAGAAUGGGACAUGGGCCCUUCGAAUUUUCCACAGGAAAAAAAACAUGUAACCUGGAGAUUUAAUAAAACCUUCAAAAAUAUAGACACUACCUAUGUAAAUUGCAGGAACUCAGCUGGGUUUCUAUUUGUUCCAGGCAGUCUACACGCUGGUAUAGUCCACUCUCCUGCAUCACAUCACAGUCACAAGCACAGGCUCUGGGACCAGACAGCUCUGGUCAGAAUCCCGAUUCUGUCGUGCACCAGCGGUCCACACUGGGGUGGCCUCUUGAGUCUCAGUAUCCGCGUCUGGAAAGAGGAGAAUAACUCAGACUGCACCGGCAGGGUGUGGAGCUCUCAGCUUGGUGUUGGGCACACAGGUUCCAGACGGCAGCAAGUUCCCACCUGGAGAGGGGGAAGCAGCCCCAGAAACUCAGGCAUCAGGUGAUCUCGUCCAGAAUUCCAGCUCCUAGGAAGAGAGACAGUGAGAACCACGCAGAAGCCAUGUCCUCUGGUGAUGAAGCCCUGGGCUUCUCCUGAGGUUCUGGACACCCCUACUCUGCCCACGGGAUUGGUAGCCAAGCGCAGCUGGGACCAAGAUGGGAAACUGGGGGCCAGCUAGGGGCCCCAUUGUGCAACCUAAAUGUAUACAAUUUUUAUUUGUCAAUCAUACAUCAACAAAGCUGGGGGGGAAAUAAGUAACCAGAGAAAAGAGAACAUUGAAAAUAAAGGGAACCAGCCCUGAUGGCCUAGAGGUUAAAGUUCGGAGUUCUCACUGCUUCAGCGGCCUGGGUUCCUUUCCGGGUUGCAGAACCAC
rnacentral:lncRNA from 1 species